rnacentral:rRNA from 1 species
CGAAGGGUGCAAGCGUUACUCGGAAUUACUGGGCGUAAAGCGUGCGUAGGUGGUUCGUUAAGUCCGAUGUGAAAGCCCUGGGCUCAACCUGGGAAUGGCAUUGGAUACUGGCGGGCUAGAGUGCGGUAGAGGGCAGUGGAAUUCCCGGUGUAGCAGUGAAAUGCGUAGAGAUCGGGAGGAACAUCUGUGGCGAAGGCGACUGCCUGGACCAGCACUGACACUGAGGCACGAAAGCGUGGGAGCAAACAGGAUU